rnacentral:rRNA from 2 species
ACGCUGGCGGCGUGCCUAAUACAUGCAAGUCGAACGAGUUCUGAUUAUUGAAAGGUGCUUGCAUCUUGAUUUAAUUUUGAACGAGUGGCGGACGGGUGAGUAACACGUGGGUAACCUGCCCUUAAGUGGGGGAUAACAUUUGGAAACAGAUGCUAAUACCGCAUAAAUCCAAGAACCGCAUGGUUCUUGGCUGAAAGAUGGCGUAAGCUAUCGCUUUUGGAUGGACCCGCGGCGUAUUAGCUAGUUGGUGAGGUAACGGCUCACCAAGGCAAUGAUACGUAGCCGAACUGAGAGGUUGAUCGGCCACAUUGGGACUGAGACACGGCCCAAACUCCUACGGGAGGCAGCAGUAGGGAAUCUUCCACAAUGGACGCAAGUCUGAUGGAGCAACGCCGCGUGAGUGAAGAAGGCUUUCGGGUCGUAAAACUCUGUUGUUGGAGAAGAAUGGUCGGCAGAGUAACUGUUGUCGGCGUGACGGUAUCCAACCAGAAAGCCACGGCUAACUACGUGCCAGCAGCCGCGGUAAUACGUAGGUGGCAAGCGUUAUCCGGAUUUAUUGGGCGUAAAGCGAGCGCAGGCGGUUUUUUAAGUCUGAUGUGAAAGCCCUCGGCUUAACCGAGGAAGUGCAUCGGAAACUGGGAAACUUGAGUGCAGAAGAGGACAGUGGAACUCCAUGUGUAGCGGUGAAAUGCGUAGAUAUAUGGAAGAACACCAGUGGCGAAGGCGGCUGUCUGGUCUGUAACUGACGCUGAGGCUCGAAAGCAUGGGUAGCGAACAGGAUUAGAUACCCUGGUAGUCCAUGCCGUAAACGAUGAAUGCUAGGUGUUGGAGGGUUUCCGCCCUUCAGUGCCGCAGCUAACGCAUUAAGCAUUCCGCCUGGGGAGUACGACCGCAAGGUUGAAACUCAAAGGAAUUGACGGGGGCCCGCACAAGCGGUGGAGCAUGUGGUUUAAUUCGAAGCAACGCGAAGAACCUUACCAGGUCUUGACAUCUUUUGAUCACCUGAGAGAUCAGGUUUCCCCUUCGGGGGCAAAAUGACAGGUGGUGCAUGGUUGUCGUCAGCUCGUGUCGUGAGAUGUUGGGUUAAGUCCCGCAACGAGCGCAACCCUUAUGACUAGUUGCCAGCAUUUAGUUGGGCACUCUAGUAAGACUGCCGGUGACAAACCGGAGGAAGGUGGGGAUGACGUCAAAUCAUCAUGCCCCUUAUGACCUGGGCUACACACGUGCUACAAUGGAUGGUACAACGAGUUGCGAGACCGCGAGGUCAAGCUAAUCUCUUAAAGCCAUUCUCAGUUCGGACUGUAGGCUGCAACUCGCCUACACGAAGUCGGAAUCGCUAGUAAUCGCGGAUCAGCACGCCGCGGUGAAUACGUUCCCGGGCCUUGUACACACCGCCCGUCACACCAUGAGAGUUUGUAACACCCGAAGCCGGUGGCGUAACCCUUUUAGGGAGCGAGCCGUCUAAGGUGGGACAAAUGAUUAGGGUGAAGUC